GGUACCGCUGGAAGAUAUCAUGCAAUACUUUCUGAUGGAAUCAAAAAUAGGAAAACAGACAGCAGCAAAUGUUCUUUUAACUUUGAAGACCUCAGCUACUCAACAGAAUACACAGUGGAGGUUAGAGCAAAGAAUGGUGAAGGGUUGAUGUCAGAUCCAAAUUCUGAUGCAGAGUUCACAUCAUAUAAUGACAAAGCCAUUGGAAGUGUGGCCUUUCUCCUCGCACUGACCGUCAUUGCCCUCCUAUUUAUUAUGUG